rnacentral:rRNA from 1 species
UACGUAGGGCGCAAGCGUUGUCCGGAAUUAUUGGGCGUAAAGAGCUCGUAGGUGGUUUGUCGCGUUGUUCGUGAAAACUCACAGCUUAACUGUGGGCGUGCGGGCGAUACGGGCAGACUUGAGUACUGCAGGGGAGACUGGAAUUCCUGGUGUAGCGGUGGAAUGCGCAGAUAUCAGGAGGAACACCGGUGGCGAAGGCGGGUCUCUGGGCAGUAACUGACGCUGAGGAGCGAAAGCGUGGGGAGCGAACAGG